CCCGGGGAAGUUGUCCCUGGAUCCCGGGACCUUGGCAGUGGCGGGCUGCACAGGCGACGGCAGCAGCCGCCUUAGCGUCUCAUGCCCGUCUCUGGGGUCCUUGCUGAUAGCCGCGGCUCGCGCCCGUCUCUGGAGCUCCUUUAAGCGGCGCCCUUAAUCCCCUCUCCUCGCGCACCAGGAAACAAAGAGGCAAGAAAAAGUCUCUUACCUCUUCGGCAGCUCCAGACUUUUCCCUGGACUCCCUCCUGGCUAGCCGUGGUGCACUAACCCCCUGCAGGCUGUGUUCACGCCGCCAACCCCAGUCCUCUCCCUGCACUCCGACCGAAGCCCGAGCCUCAGCUCCCAGCCCCCGCCCACCCCGGCAGCCAUUUAGGGAGAAGAAAGCUUUGGUUUAUUUCUCCUUUAAGUGAGGAAGAUAAAAAUGAAACCAACAAAACCAAACAAGUGUCUGAAAUCCAGUCACUGAAAUGACAACUUAGAGUUUUGCAAAUGGAACAAGUCUUUGCAUGGAUUUGAGAACUUGGCUCUGGAAUUAAGACUGAGGGGUUGUCUCCAACCCGGUUCAGAAGUCAGCAGGAAAGAAGAUUGUUGUUUAUGGUCCCCUGGAACUCCACCAUCUCUAACUCUAACUCUCCAUCUCACCUUGAGUCUUGCUGGACUGGCUGAACUGAGGACCAGGUGCGGUGACUCCAUCAGAAUUCCUUUUAGGGAGGGUAUCUAUCUUUAUUUAGGAAAAAUUCUUGGUGCUGUCAGUGAUGAAAGUGAGACUUUGAGGGCAUAGGUUCAAAGGGCCGAAGGAAAGGGAAGAGAGAGCGGACCUGCUCUACCCUGGACACAGGCUGAAGAAUGAGAGAGUGGUGAUGGAGGAGGGAGCAGAGAGGGUGAGGAGAGAGAAGACCAUGAGAUUGGAAAAGGCUCCAGCCCUGCGGUUGUUGGGUGGCAGGAAGAUAAGAGAGAUGUCUACUAUCCAAUUUGAAGUUGCUGUUGCUGCCGUGAUGGAAAUCUUGCCUCCCCAAAGCCAUGGCUUCAUAAAGUCAACCUCCCAAAUGCAAAUUGACUGAGUGAAGGCAUUUGGGGGAUCAAUGAACUGAUUGAGUUUGAUAAAAUAAUGAGUUGGGAGAUAACGCGUUAGCUGUGGAAAUAGGAAUUUGGAAGCAGAGGUACAGUAAAGGCUGUUAGUUCAUUCUUAAUAUCCAUUCUUUCUCUUUCCUAUCAUUAAAAAACCCUGCUGAACUUUAGCUGGGAGCAUUGUUGUCCAGGUAGAGACUACAUUUCUAAGCCUUUGUUAAAAGUUAUGUAUGAACAUG